UACGGAGGGUGCAAGCGUUAUCCGGAUUCACUGGGUUUAAAGGGUGCGUAGGCGGGCAGGUAAGUCAGUGGUGAAAUCUCCGAGCUUAACUCGGAAACUGCCGUUGAUACUAUUGUCUUGAAUAUUGUGGAGGUAAGCGGAAUAUGUCAUGUAGCGGUGAAAUGCUUAGAUAUGACAUAGAACACCAAUUGCGAAGGCGCUUACUACACAACGAUUGACGCUGAGGCACGAAAGCGUGGGGAUCAAACAGG
rnacentral:rRNA from 1 species